rnacentral:rRNA from 1 species
GCAGCCGCGGUAAUACCGGCAGCUCAAGUGGUCGUCGCUUUUAUUGGGCCUAAAACGUCCGUAGCCUGUUUGGUUAAUCUGUGGGUAAAUCAACCAGCUUAACUGGUUGAAUUCUGCAGAGACUGCCAGACUAGGGACCGGGAGAGGUGUGGGGUACUCUAGGGGUAGGGGUAAAAUCCUGUCAUCCUUAGAGGACCACCAGUUGCGAAGGCGCCACACUGGAACGGAUCCGACGGUCAGGGACGAAGCCUAGGGGCACGAACCGGGUUAGAUACCCGGGUAGUCCUAGGUGUAAACGCUGUGAACUUGUGUCGGGAGUACGCAAUGGGCCCCCGGUGCCGGAGUGAAGAUGUUAAGUUCACUGCUUGGGGAGUACGGUCGCAAGGUUGAAAUUUAAAGGAAUUGUCGUGGGAGCACAGCAAUGGGAGGAGCGUGCGGUUUAAUUGGAUUCAACUCCGGAAAACUCACCAGGGCCGACUGUUAGAUGAAGACCAAGGUAAUGAACUGGUCGGAUUUUCGGAGAGGCGGGGCAUGGCCGUUGUCAGUUCGAAAUGUAAAGCGUUUUGUUAAGUCAGAAAACGAACGAGACCCUCAUCUUUAUUUGCUACCCGUCUAUCCGGAGGCGGCGCACUAUAGGGAGCCCGCUGGUGUUAAACCAGAGGAAGGGGAGGGCAACGACAGGUCAGUAUGCCCCGAAUGUCGUGGGCUACACGCGCGCCACAAAGGACGGGACAAUGGGAAGCUAGGCCGAGAGGCCACGCUAACCCGAAACCCGUUCGUAGUUCGGAGUGAGGGCUGUAACUCGCCCUCAUGAAGCGGGAUUCCGUAGUAAUCGUGCUUCAACAUAGCACGGUGAAUAUGCCCCUGCUCCUUCCCCUCACCCCCCGUC